rnacentral:rRNA from 1 species
GAUGAACGCUGGCAGCGUGCCUAAUACAUGCAAGUCGAGCGAACAGACGAGGAGCUUGCUCCUCUGACGUUAGCGGCGGACGGGUGAGUAACACGUGGAUAACCUACCUAUAAGACUGGGAUAACUUCGGGAAACCGGAGCUAAUACCGGAUAAUAUAUUGAACCGCAUGGUUCAAUAGUGAAAGACGGUUUUGCUGUCACUUAUAGAUGGAUCCGCGCCGCAUUAGCUAGUUGGUAAGGUAACGGCUUACCAAGGCAACGAUGCGUAGCCGACCUGAGAGGGUGAUCGGCCACACUGGAACUGAGACACGGUCCAGACUCCUACGGGAGGCAGCAGUAGGGAAUCUUCCGCAAUGGGCGAAAGCCUGACGGAGCAACGCCGCGUGAGUGAUGAAGGUCUUCGGACCGUAAAACUCUGUUAUUAGGGAAGAACAAAUGUGUAAGUAACUAUGCACGUCUUGACGGUACCUAAUCAGAAAGCCACGGCUAACUACGUG